AACGAACGCUGGCGGCAUGCCUUACACAUGCAAGUCGAACGGUAACAGGUCUUCGGAUGCUGACGAGUGGCGAACGGGUGAGUAAUACAUCGGAACGUGCCCAAUCGUGGGGGAUAACGAAGCGAAAGCUUUGCUAAUACCGCAUAAGAUCUACGGAUGAAAGCAGGGGACCGCAAGGCCUUGCGCGAACGGAGCGGCCGAUGGCAGAUUAGGUAGUUGGUAGGAUAAAAGCUUACCAAGCCGACGAUCUGUAGCUGGUCUGAGAGGACGACCAGCCACACUGGGACUGAGACACGGCCCAGACUCCUACGGGAGGCAGCAGUGGGGAAUUUUGGACAAUGGGCGAAAGCCUGAUCCAGCCAUGCCGCGUGCAGGAUGAAGGCCUUCGGGUUGUAAACUGCUUUUGUACGGAACGAAAAGACUCUUUCUAAUAAAGAGGGUCCAUGACGGUACCGUAAGAAUAAGCACCGGCUAACUACGUGCCAGCAGCCGCCGUAACAC
rnacentral:rRNA from 1 species